rnacentral:lncRNA from 1 species
AGUACCAACUGUAACAUACCAGAUUUUGGUAUAAAGAUAAGAAUAAAUAAAAAUAGUAUGAGAAACUAUUUUUAUUGGAUUUAUAGAAGUAAAACAUAAGUCAGAAUGACUUGUACUGAAAUCGAAAUGAAAACAGAAGAUCUAGAAUUUUCUGUUGGAAACGGGACAGAUAGAUUAGCAGAAAAUGCACAGUCUCAGAAAAUUAUGAAAAUUGGAGGAUAAGUCAGAAAUAUUUUUAUUAGGCUAGAUUUAAAGUUUCAUAUUUUUCUGACACCCGUAGAGUGAGAAAUAAAAUCCGACAGCUAUCUAAUAAAGAUUACAGUUCGGUACAGUUUUCGAUGACCAAAUGGGGUCGAAACUGAAAACUUAAAAUAUAUUCUUGUUCAGUACGUAAAACCGAGCAUGACUGUCAAGUUUGAGCUCAAACGGACAUUCAGGGAGCUCCGACGAAAGUUAUCAGAUUUCAAACUGUCUGGAGUGAAUAGUGUUUGAGGGGUAUUAUAAAGAAGCUGAUGCUUCUUCUUCUCCUUCG